CUCCAAAUGUCAUCACUCCCUUGAGGGCUGAUUGGACACGAACCUGACACUUCCCGAAAUGCUUUGUAUGAGCAUUGUGCCGAACUCAGACAUGCGCAGGUUUGUUGUAAAGUGUCUGGAUAAUGUGGCUGGAAUUGUUUUGUGGACAGCUCUAUGCACGUCAACAAGCAAGAGUGGGUUUGAACGUGCAUUUCCUGUCGCUGUCUGGAGCGGGGGAUCAGAGCGCCCGUGCCUGGUGCCUUUCUUCCUGACACGUAAAUGAGUGAUUUCUAGGGAUCUGACGACGAGUGCCCUGUGGAGUGGCCAUCUCACGAAGACCCACAGAGUCUGUGGAGAGGUCGUUGGGAAAACUGGAAAUAGUGAAUGAAAGAGCCUGGCCCUUAGUAAGUGCUUAAUGAAAACAGCAAUUACUCAAAGUGUGGGCAGUUACCUGGGCAGAGAGCCUGAAUGGAAAGGAGGCUGUAAGACCAAGUGAUGAGGGGGCUGCUGAGCGUCCAGCAUCUGGUCCCCAUUCUCCUCCCCUGGGGCUCACCGACAUCCCAGAACACCCCUUCUCCCUUCCACCCUUUAAGUGUGGCCAUCAGGGACACACACCCUAGCAUGUAGGUCCUGUGAUGCAGGAACAGAAGCCGGAGGUACGUGCAUUCCUUUCCAAUGCUCUAAGAGAAAACAUAGCCCCACGUAUCCUUCCCAGUGCC